AGUAUUUUGGAAAGAAAGCAACAACAAUAUAAGACUCCAAGUUUGCGAACGUAUUUGAGAAAAGCGAAAUAACCUGCGGGCAAAUUCUAGAGUCAGAGGGAACGAAGGUUCAAGGUGUACAUCUUUCUUAAUAAGAGAGUAAAAAAUCUGAAGAUAUUGUUUUAAGGAGAUAUCAUCUUCUUGAAGCUUGAACUGUGAAAUAUCUUAAGUUUAUUCUUGAAUUGUCGGAACGAAGAGAAUAGAAAGGAAUAAAAGAAAUCCUGUUUAUCGAAACUGGAAAAAAAGAAAUAUUAAAAGGCAGAAGUUAUUGUUUCCAGUGAGAUAUGUCCGGUUGGUCGAUUUUUAACUAAAAGUGAAGCUUCCUCAACAAACUCUGUAACAGUCAUAAACCUUAAAGGAAUGGAAACAUCAAUUCAAUGUCAUUUGAUUCUCCUGUUGCUGCCAGCUUUGACGCUUCUAGUUUUCGUGACUCCGAUGACUGGAGAGUCAGCGAACAGAAAUGGUUUAUUCAGAAAAAUCUCUUCUUCAAAAUGCAUAAGUGACCAGAGAAUAACAACUGCAAAAACGGUGUCUGUUACAAAAUGUUCGAUUUGGUGUAUUUCACAAGACGAAUGCCAAUAUUUUAGCUAUUGUAAAGGUACAUGUCAUAUGCAUGGAUUGUGGUACGACAAAGAAAUCGAAGAUUAUGAUUGCAACUGUUCAUUGUAUAUUUCGUUCCCAGAAAACGGUACAAGCUGGCAGGGAAUGUUUAAAAUGACCGAAAACUCAUUUAC